rnacentral:rRNA from 1 species
AACGUAGGAGGCGAGCGUUAUCCGGAUUUACUGGGUGUAAAGCGCGUGCAGGCGGUUUGGCAAGUCGUGCGUGAAAGCGCUCUGGCUCAACCGGGCGAGGACGUGCGGAACUGCUGAACUAGAGGCAGGUAGAGGCGUGUGGAAUUCCGGGUGUAGUGGUGAAAUGCGUAGAGAUCCGGAGGAACACCAGUGGCGAAGGCGACGCGCUGGGCCUGACCUGACGCUAAGACGCGAAAGCAUGGGGAGCGAA